CACAUGCAAGUCGAACGGCAGCGGGAAAGAGCUUGCUCUUUUGCCGGCGAGUGGCGCACGGGUGCGUAACGCGUAUACAAUCUACCUUGUACAGGGGUAUAGCCCAGGGAAACUUGGAUUAACACCCCAUAGUAAUAUGUUUUGGCAUCAUCACAUAUUUAAAACUACGGUGGUACAAGAUGAGUAUGCGUCCCAUUAGCUUGUUGGUGUGGUAACGGCACACCAAGGCAGCGAUGGGUAGGGGCCCUGAGAGGGGGAUCCCCCACACUGGUACUGAGACACGGACCAGACUCCUACGGGAGGCAGCAGUGAGGAAUAUUGGACAAUGGGCGAGAGCCUGAUCCAGCCAUGCCGCGUGCAGGAAGACUGCCCUAUGGGUUGUAAACUGCUUUUAUACGGGAAGAAACCCACCUACGUGUAGGUGGCUGACGGUACCGUAAGAAUAAGGACCGG
rnacentral:rRNA from 1 species